UAUAGGUUUGGUCCCAGCCUUCCUGUUAACUUUCAAUAGACUUAUACAUGCAAGCAUUCACGCCCCGGUGAGUAACGCCCUUCGAAUCACACAGGACUAAAAGGAGCAGGUAUCAAGCACACACUCUUGUAGCUCACAACGCCUUGCUUAACCACACCCCCACGGGAGACAGCAGUAACAAAAAUUAAGCCAUAAACGAAAGUUUGACUAAGCCAUAUUGACCAGGGUUGGUAAAUCUCGUGCCAGCCACCGCGGUCAUACGAUUGACCCAAGCUAACAGGAGUACGGCGUAAAGCGUGUUAAAGCAUCAUACUAAAUAGAGUUAAAUUUUAAUUAAACUGUAAAAAGCCAUAAUUAUAACAAAAAUAAAUGACGAAAGUAACCCUACAAUAGCUGAUACACCAUAGCUAAGACCCAAACUGGGAUUAGAUACCCCACUAUGCUUAGCCCUAAACACAAAUAAUUAU
rnacentral:rRNA from 1 species